rnacentral:rRNA from 1 species
CAGUCGCCGCGGGAAUACGUAGGUGGCAAGCGUUGUCCGGAAUUAUUGGGCGUAAAGGGCUCGCAGGCGGUUUCUUAAGUCUGAUGUGAAAGUCCCCGGCUCAACCGGGGAGGGUCAUUGGAAACUGGGAAACUUGAGUGCAGAAGAGGAGAGUGGAAUACCACGUGUAGCGGCGAAAUGCGUAGAGAUGUGGAGGAACACCAGUGGCGAAGGCGACUCUCUGGUCUGUAACUGACGCUGAGGAGCGAAAGCGUGGGGAGCGAACAGGAUUAGAUACCCCUGUAGUCCCUGUCUCUUAUAC